UACGUAGGGUGCAAGCGUUGUCCGGAAUUAUUGGGCGUAAAGAGCUCGUAGGCGGUCUGUCGCGUCUGCUGUGAAAACCUGGGGCUUAACCCCGGGCCUGCAGUGGGUACGGGCAGACUAGAGUGCGGUAGGGGAGACUGGAAUUCCUGGUGUAGCGGUGAAAUGCGCAGAUAUCAGGAGGAACACCGGUGGCGAAGGCGGGUCUCUGGGCCGUAACUGACGCUGAGGAGCGAAAGCCAGGGGAGCAAACGGG
rnacentral:rRNA from 1 species